ACUCAAAGGAAUUGACGGGGGCCCGCACAAGCGGUGGAGCAUGUGGUUUAAUUCGAUGCAACGCGAAGAACCUUACCUGGGUUUGACAUCCCUUGACCGCACUAGAGAUAGUGCUUUGUAGCAAUACACAAGGAGACAGGUGCUGCAUGGCUGUCGUCAGCUCGUAUCGUGAGAUGUCGGGUUAAGUCCCUUAACGAGCGCAACCCUUGUCCUUAGUUGCCACCAUUUAGUUGGGCACUCUAAGGAGACUGCCGGUGUUAAACCGGAGGAAGGUGGGGAUGACGUCAAGUCCUCAUGGCCUUUAUAUCCAGGGCUACACACGUGCUACAAUGGCCGAUACAGAGGGUCGCCAACCCGCGAGGGGGAGCUAAUCUCAGAAAGUCGGUCUUAGUUCGGAUUGAAGUCUGCAAUUCGACUUCAUGAAGCUGGAAUCGCUAGUAAUCGCGGAUCAGAACGCCGCGGUGAAUACGUUCCCGGGCCUUGUACACACCGCCCGU
rnacentral:rRNA from 1 species